AACCUAUAGACACAGAUUUGAUAUACACUUCUCUCAAACUGAAAGAAAGGAAAAUAAUACAAAGGACCUUAUAGCCUUUUGGACUUCAUCAUAAUGGAACAAUAAAGGACAUACUCUGGUUAAUAGGUUGAACAUCCCUUUACUGCUGCUGAUUUGAGGACUGCCAUCUUCCUCCUGAUUUUGGAGAGGUUGUACUCUAGCUGAGUGGAGAACAGACUGAACCACCUGCAGGAGUGAGUUUGCUCCCUCACAGCUGAUUGGACGAUGAGGACUGCCCUGCUGCUGAUCUGUCUGCUGGCCUUGGGCCUGGCACUUCCUGUACACAAGAAAAGAGUAACACGGUCAGACAGCUCAGAAGACGGGGAAGACUCCAGUGAGGAAGAUGGAGGAGAAGAGGAGGAAGAAGAAGAGGGAGGAGAAGGAGAAGAAGAGGGAGAGGGAG